GCGAAGCUCCUGAUCGAAGCCCCAGUAAACGGCGGCCGUAACUAUAACGGUCCUAAGGUAGCGAAAUUCCUUGUCGGGUAAGUUCCGACCUGCACGAAUGGCGUAAUGAUGGCCAGGCUGUCUCCACCCGAGACUCAGUGAAAUUGAACUCGCUGUGAAGAUGCAGUGUACCCGCGGCAAGACGGAAAGACCCCGUGAACCUUUACUAUAGCUUGACACUGAACAUUGAGCCUUGAUGUGUAGGAUAGGUGGGAGGCUUUGAAGUGUGGACGCCAGUCUGCAUGGAGCCAACCUUGAAAUACCACCCUUUAACGUUUGAUGUUCUAACCUAGGCCCAUAAACUGGGUCGGGGACCGUGUCUGGUGGGUAGUUUGACUGGGGCGGUCUCCUCCUAAAGAGUAACGGAGGAGCACGAAGGUUGGCUAAGCAUGGUCGGACAUCAUGCGGUUAGUGCAAAGGCAUAAGCCAGCUUGACUGCGAGAGUGACGGCUCGAGCAGGUACGAAAGUAGGUCUUAGUGAUCCGGUGGUUCUGAAUGGAAGGGCCAUCGCUCAACGGAUAAAAGGUACUCCGGGGAUAACAGGCUGAUACCGCCCAAGAGUUCAUAUCGACGGCGGUGUUUGGCACCUCGAUGUCGGCUCAUCACAUCCUGGGGCUGAAGUAGGUCCCAAGGGUAUGGCUGUUCGCCAUUUAAAGUGGUACGCGAGCUGGGUUUAGAACGUCGUGAGACAGUUCGGUCCCUAUCUGCCGUGGGCGUUGGAAGAUUGAGAGGGGUUGCUCCUAGUACGAGAGGACCGGAGUGAACGCACCACUGGUGUUCGGGUUGUCAUGCCAAUGGCAUUGCCCGGUAGCUAAGUGCGGAAGAGAUAACCGCUGAAAGCAUCUAAGCGGGAAACUUGCCUCGAGAUGAGUCUUCCCUGUCGCUUUAAGCGACCUAAAGGAACGUUUAAGACUAAGACGUUGAUAGGCUGGGUGUGUAAGCGUAGCGAUACGUUGAGCUAACCAGUACUAAUGAACCGUGAGGCUUAACCUGACAACACCGAA
rnacentral:rRNA from 1 species